rnacentral:misc_RNA from 1 species
AACUCUCAACCCCCUUAUUUUGUAAUGAAAUAAGUUGUGGGCUUGGAUUAUGGUUGUCUGUCGGCUUUGCAGCCGGCUCAACUGAAAUACACGAGCUGCCCAUAUUUUGAAAUAGACGGUUUGACUCGGCGUAAUAAUUAUUUCGCUGAGGACGUCCCAUUUUCAAUUAACAAGUGGUGCUUCUAAUUUGAUAAUCAUUUAAGC